rnacentral:rRNA from 1 species
UCAAACUUGAGAGUUUGAUCCUGGCUCAGAACGAACGCUGGCGGCAUGCCUAAUACAUGCAAGUCGAACGAGAUCUUCGGAUCUAGUGGCGCACGGGUGCGUAACGCGUGGGAAUCUGCCCUUGGGUUCGGAAUAACGUCGGGAAACUGACGCUAAUACCGGAUG